CUGGAGGCUUUGAGCCAUCCUAGUAACAAACAUGCAUAUAACAACUAUGCAAGGCACGAAAUAUCUAAAAUGCUAAGAACGUUCAUUCCCCACAUCCUGUUAAGGUACAUUUUAAAUACAGCAGUGUAAGGCAGUAGAGAAAGGAAUCCAAGAUUAAGCUAAAUGGAUAUUGUACUGAUAAUCUAAUUAGUAAUCUCUUUUAGCAUGCAUUUAGUGUUUAACACCAUCAGCCGGUUCUGUUAAAGCACAUUUAUAGCUUUAUAUUGGGGAUCAGUUUUUAUGAUUCAGAUGUAACAAGAAACUUUGGUUUAAAGUAACCAUGAUAAAAGUGGCAACUGUGGUACAGAAGGAGAGGAUGGGAGGAAGGGGGUGAGCAGGCACAAUAUGGAUUCCUAGCUAAACAGGCCAUGAUUUAUAAAACCAAGUUUAGCCAGGUCCAAGAUGUGAUAAGAAAGAUGAAAUUAGGGAAAGCCCCAGGACCGGAUGGACUGUCAGCUAAAUAUUAUAAAGUAUUAGAAAAUCAAUUAACCCCAGUGUUAUGUGACAUCAUGAAUAAUAUACUGAGAGGAGGAAAGGUACCAGAGACAUGGAAAGAGGCCCACAUCACGAUGAUCCCUAAACCGCAGCUUCAGUGGCUUUAGAAACCAGCUAAGUCAUGUUAAGUGUCAAAAGUAGGAACGAAAGAACACAAACUAAAAGCGUACGCAGACGAUUUGAUGCUAUCCCUAGAAGAGCCGCAAAAAAGUGUCAGUAAGGCCCUGGAAAUACUAGAAGAAUAUGGCAAACUAUCCGGUUUUAAAUUGAAUAAAUCAAAGACAAAAAUGCUGACUAAAAAUCUGGGAAAAGAUGAAAGAGAAAAAUUAGAGAUACAGAAUGGAAUCAAGGUGGCCAAAAAAAUAAAAUAUCUGGGAAUAUGGCUAACUACAAAAAAUAUAAAUUUUAUUCAAGAUAAUUAUUUGACAACAUGGAAGGAAAUAAAAAAAGAUCUAGAUACGUGGAACAGGGUGAAACUUUUGUGGUCGGGAAGGAUGGCGGCAAUAAAAAUGAACAUACUCCCAAGAAUGUUAUUCUUGUUCCAAAACAUCCCUGUGAUUAGAGGUUCCACAAUGUUUAAGGAUUGGCAGAAAACUCUUUCGAAAUUUAUAUGGCAAGGGAAAAGACCGAGAAUUAGAUUUAAAUUACUUACAGAUCGAAAAGAAAGAGGGGGAUUCUCGGUGCCAAAUCUGAAAUUAUACUUCGAGGCCUCCUGCCUUUGCUGGAUCAAAGAUUGGAUCAAUUUGGAAAAUACUGAUCUGUUAGACCUAGAGGGUUUCAACAAUAGGUUCGGUUGGCAUGCCUACUUGUGGCUAAAUAAAGAAAAGGUACAUAAAGGGUUUUCAAGUCAUAUUAUUAGAGGGCCACUAUAUGAAGUUUGGCAGAAAAACAAAAAACUUUUAGAAUGGAAGACACCCUGGUGGUUAUCACCAAUUGACAUUCUAACAACCAAAAAAGCAAAUAUGGAAGGAGAAAGAUUGACCUACGAAGACCUACUGAUAAGAUCAGAAAGUGGCUGGAAAUUGAGAACAUAUGAAGAGUUGAAAGAUAAAUUAACAGGCUGGCUGCAGUAUCAUCAAAUAAACGCAAUAUGGAUGGAAGACAAAAAAGUAGGGAUAAGUGAGAAAAAAUCCAAAUUUCAGAUAGAAAUAAUUGAAGGCAAAACCAAGUUAUUAUCCAAAAUGUAUGAUAUAUUAUUCGAAUGGGAUACUAAAGAUGAAGAAAUAAAGGAGGUUAUGACAAAAUGGGCAAUGGAUUUGGGAUACAAUAUAGAAUAUGAAAAGUGGUCGAAAUUAUGGAGUUGUGGGAUGAAAUUUACGGCAUGCGUCAUACUUAGAGAAAUUUAGAAAAGAUGAUGUAUAGGUGGUACAUCACACCAGCAAAAUUAGGAAAAAUGUACAAAACAGGAAAUAAGGCCUGCUGGAAGUGUAAAAUCAAAGAAGGUAAUUUCUACCAUAUGUGGUGGACCUGUGAGGAAAUGAAGAAAUUUUGGGACCUGAUUUAUAACGAGUUAAAAAAAAUACUUAAAUAUACCUUCCCUAAAAGACCAGAGGCCUUCCUACUAGGAAUAAUUGGGGAUGAAAUUAAAAAAAGGAUAAAACACUAUUCCAAUAUUCGACAGUAGCGGCUAGAAUAUUAAUUGCACACAGUAGCUGUUAAAGUGUUCUGGGUUUUAACCAACUAAGUCAUCUUCAGGGAGGACCCAUGAAAACCAAUGGAUUUAAGUUAGUCAAGUCCAUUAAUUUCAGUGGGUCUACUCUGAGUACUACUUAGAUGGAUACAACCUUCUGACCUCAAUGGCUUCAUCUAUGAAAAAGGUCUGAACCAAUGUCAACCUGAAGGUAAUCAGUCUAUGCUCUAAGGUAAUUACUUAGACCUAUCUCUGUUACAGACAGUAGAAAUUUACUGAUAUAUGCAAUAAGUCCGAGGAUCAGAUCUAGGGCUGUUGGUUUAAGUGUCUGAAUGCAGCAGCGUGGUAAGCAGCAGUACCUUCCUGUCCCAGUGCUCAAUAUGACUAUUUCACGACCAUUUUAGCAGGCAGCCCUAUAGGUGCUCCAUGUAUUCUCUCACUCCCUUGAAGCUCUUAAAAGGUAGGGUAUCUGGCAGUCAUAAGCCACAACUGAAACACCCAGUGAAUUGGCUGUUCUGAUGGCUGUUGCUUGGUUGCCAUUGCUCAAAUCACAAAUAGGUCAGUUGUGUGUCUUCUGUUCGACAGGCUGACAGAUGACUUCGGAGGUCCAAGUCUGGUUUAAAGAUAAAGAACCGUAAGAAGGGAAAGCAAGGUCUAUAUGUUGCCCGUCAACAGUUAUCAGGACCUUGGACAGCAGACUAAACAGGCACAGAAGUAAAUCCUGGUCAGAGUCUUCCCC